GACGAACGCUGGCGGCGUGCUUAACACAUGCAAGUCGAACGGAAAGGCCCUGCUUUUGUGGGGUGCUCGAGUGGCGAACGGGUGAGUAACACGUGAGUAACCUGCCCUUGACUUUGGGAUAACUUCAGGAAACUGGGGCUAAUACCGGAUAGGAGCUCCUGCUGCAUGGUGGGGGUUGGAAAGUUUCGGCGGUUGGGGAUGGACUCGCGGCUUAUCAGCUUGUUGGUGGGGGAGUGGCUUACCAAGGCUUUGACGGGUAGCCGGCCUGAGAGGGUGACCGGCCACCUUGGGACUGCGGUACGGCCCAGACUCCUACGGUAGGCAGAAGUGGGGAAUAUUGCACAGUGGGCGGACGCCUGAUGCAGCAACGCCGCGUGCGGGAUGACGGCCUUCGGGUUGUAAACCGCUUUCGCCUGUGACGAAGCGUGAGUGACGGUAAUGGGUAAAGAAGCACCGGCUAACUACGUG
rnacentral:rRNA from 1 species